rnacentral:rRNA from 1 species
UUAAGUCCGUAACGAGCGCAACCCUUGUCCUUAGUUACCAGCACGUUAUGGUGGGCGACUCUAAGGAGACUGCCGGUGCAAACCGGAGGAAGGUGGGGAUGACGUCAAGUCAUCAUGGCCCUUACGGCCUGGGCUACACACGUGCUACAAUGGUCGGUACAAAGGGUUGCCAAGCCGCGAGGUGGAGCUAAUCCCAUAAAACCGAUCGUAGUCCGGAUCGCAGUCUGCAACUCGACUGCGUGAAGUCGGAAUCGCUAGUAAUCGUGAAUCAGAAUGUCACGGUGAAUACGUUCCCGGGCCUU